CCGCUGCGUGAGAAGAUAUUUGGUUUUCAUAGAAGGAACAUGUUCUGUUUUAGUUUUUAAACAUCUUGUUAUUUCCGUUACGUGUUGUAAGGAAGAUAAGCAUUUUGUUCAAGUAGUCUUCAUGAUUUGAUUCAGGGAAUUUUAUGCAUGCAGAAUAACAGUGAUGGAAAGAUUAAAUAAAUAAAAAGUGGCAACCGACACCGUAGUCUUUCUUCUGUUUGUCUCGUAAUGCUCUCUACUAUCCAUCUUUGAGGAGCCUCACAUGCUCACAUCUGGGGGUGAAGCUACCGAUCAAUACCAGAUUACUCAGCACCACGACAGUACAAUGUGUGAAAGAGGAAACCGAGCCAAUCUCCAAGAGAUUUUUGGCAGCCAGCAAAGUGCCCAAUCACUUUUGAAUGUAGGCAGCAGAAUUAUCUCGCCACAAGAACACGAUUAAAACAGUUAUAAUUAAUUAGGAACUAUUAUUAACUUAAAUAAACAUGGAUAAUCAUAAUCAUAAUUAUGACA